rnacentral:rRNA from 1 species
CUGAGUCGGCCGCGCCCAAGUCCAUUGGAACAUGGCGCCUGGGAGGGUGAGAGCCCCGUAUGGCGCACGCCGACUCUUUGUACACCGCGGCUCCGACGAGUCGAGUUGUUUGGGAAUGCAGCUCUAAGUGGGUGGUAAAUUCCAUCUAAAGCUAAAUAUUGGCGAGAGACCGAUAGCGAACAAGUACAGUGAUGGAAAGAUGAAAAGCACUUUGAAAAGAGAGUGAAACAGCACGUGAAAUUGUUGAAAGGGAAGGGCUUGCAAGCAGACACGGUUUUACCGGGCCAGCGUCGAAAAGGGGGGAGGAACAAGAACUCGAGAAUGUGGCGCGCACCUUCGGGCGCGCGUGUUAUAGCUCGUGUUGACGCCUCCAUCCCUUUUCGAGGCCUGCGAUUCUAGGACGCUGGC